GAUGAACGCUGGCGGCGUGCCUAAUACAUGCAAGUCGAGCGAACAGACGAGGAGCUUGCUCCUCUGACGUUAGCGGCGGACGGGUGAGUAACACGUGGAUAACCUACCUAUAAGACUGGGAUAACUUCGGGAAACCGGAGCUAAUACCGGAUAAUAUAUUGAACCGCAUGGUUUAAUAGUGAAAGACGGUUUUGCUGUCACUUAUAGAUGGAUCCGCGCCGCAUUAGCUAGUUGGUAAGGUAACGGCUUACCAAGGCGACGAUGCGUAGCCGACCUGAGAGGGUGAUCGGCCACACUGGAACUGAGACACGGUCCAGACUCCUACGGGAGGCAGCAGUAGGGAAUCUUCCGCAAUGGGCGAAAGCCUGACGGAGCAACGCCGCGUGAGUGAUGAAGGUCUUCGGAUCGUAAAACUCUGUUAUUAGGGAAGAACAAAUGUGUAAGUAACUAUGCACGUAUUGACGGUACCUAAUCAGAAAGCCACGGCUAACUACGUG
rnacentral:rRNA from 1 species